GGUCCCAUAGUUAAAUGGAUAUAACGGAGCUUUCCUAAAGCUUUGUUGCAGGUUCGAUUCCUGCUGGGACCACCA
rnacentral:tRNA from 2 species